rnacentral:lncRNA from 1 species
CUCCAGCCUGGGCGACAGGGCGAGACCUGGAGUGCAGGCACAAUUAUGGCUCCCUGCAGCCUUGACCUCCCCAAGUUCAGGUGAUCCUCCCACCUCAGUUUUUCUAUUUUUAGUAGAGGCCUCCACCUCCCGGGUUCAAGAGAAUCACUUGAGCCCCAGAGGCAAAGGUUUCAGUAAGCCGAGAUCGUGCCACUGCACUCUAGCUUGGGCUACAGAGUGAGACUCCAUCUCACACACACAAAAGAAAUGAAAACAACAAUUUGUACAUGAGUUCAAAACAGAAUUAUUUAUUUAUUUCCCAAACUAGAAACAAUCCAAAUGUCUAUCAACAGAUAAAUGGAUAAGCAAAUGAUGACACAAUUGCAUUAAUGGAAUACCACUCAGCAAUGAAAAGGAACAAACCACUCAUACCUGCAACAACACAGAUGAGCCUCAGAAACGUGAUGCUAAGUGAAAGAAGCCAGACCAAAAAAAUUACAUGCUAUUAUUCCAUUUCAAUGAAAUUUCUGGAAAAGGCAAAAACCAUGCAAAGUAGAUCAGAGGUUGGCUGGGGGUGAGAGCAGAGACUGACUACAAAUAGGCCCAAAGGAACGUUUUGGGUGAUGGAAGUUUUCUAUAAGUGGAUUAUGGUGAUGGCUACACAACAGUAUAAAUUAAAGGUCAUCCAAAU